rnacentral:lncRNA from 1 species
AGGUGAAAUCAGGAAGCAUCUUUGACAAUUUCCUUCUUACAAAUGAUGAAAAGUUUGCGGAAGUGGUUGGAAAUAAGACCCGAGGAAUAAGAAAAGACAUAGAGAAGCAACGGAGAGAACUGCAUGAAGAAAUGGAAAAAAGAAAACAACAAGAAGAGGCCAAGAAGAAGAAUGAAAAAGAGAAGGAAAGGGAAGGUGACAUCGGGGGAACUGAAGAAGAGGGAAGUGAAGAGGAUUCAGCUGAGGAAUCAGGAACUAACAGGCAGCUGAAGGAAGAUGAUGCUGAAAGAGCAUUUCUGGAUAAACAUGUAAAAGUCCACGUUGACCAGAAGGAUAAACUGUAACUGGGUAAAAAGUGGUUACUGCUCAGAGGCAAACCAUAUUGCUUAGAAGGAAAAACGUUCAUGAGGCUGGCAAAAUCUGGGGCGCAAAAUAACUUGCUCUUUGAAUGAACAUUAGAUUUAUAUUUCUGUCCCAUCUCGUUUGCUCUGUAUGACUUUGGGAAAGGUGCAUCACCUCUUGGGUCUUUUAUUUUCUUAUCAAUGGAAAGGGAGUGAUAAUUCCUAUUUUAUAAGGUUGUCAUAAGGGUUAAAUUAGCUAUGUGUGUAAAGUGCCUGAUAUAAAUACAGUCAACAAAUAGUAGCUAUUCCUACUUAUCAUCAUGAUAUUUAUGAAAUUAACUAACAGUAAAAAAGCUUCUGUAUACACAUGAACCUCACUUUCAAUUUAUUCCAGUAUAUUCAGUGGUUUUAUUUUGAGUAUAUUAUUUGGUAUUUCCUGAACAUUUCUUUUUUUUUUUUUUNNNNNNNNNNNNNNNNNNNNNNNNNNNNNNNNNNNNNNNNNNNNNNNNNNNNNNNNNNNNNNNNNNNNNNNNNNNCCACAUCUGCGACCUACACCACAGCUCACAGCAACACCAGAUCCUUAACCCACUGAGUAAGGCCAGGGAUCGAACCUGCGUCCUCAUGGAUACCAGUCAUUCAUUUCCACUGAGGCAUGACGGGAACUCCUUACCAAGCAUUUCUGAUAGUUGCGUUUAGGGGCAAUGUUGUUUUCUUCUUGUAGGUGUAUCAAGCACCUAAAAUCAGACUUCCUCUUAACAUAAACAAAGAUACUUUAUGAAACUCCUUUUGCUUCUCUGCUGUUUCGUGACCUAAUUUUUUUUUUAUUUUCUUGUCUUUUCCAGGCCACGCCUGCGGCAUAUAGAAGUUCCUAGGGUUCGAAACAGAGCUACAGCUGCUGGCCUACGCCACAGCAGCACUGGAUCUGAGCCAAGUCUUUGACCUAUACCACAGCUCACAGCAACGCUGGAUCCUUAACCCACUGAGCAAAACCAGGGAUCAAACCCGAGUCCUCAUGGAUACCAGUCGGGUUAUCCCCUGAGCUACAACAGGAACUCCCCUAAUUUCUGAUUAAUUGUUACUUGUUGCAGGUUUGCUGGCUUUACAUUUAUCUUUCCUGUACCACUGGCUCACAACAUUAUUAUGUGCAUUCAUGCAGCAAUUUACAGAUCACAAGCGCUUUCCCAUAAAUUUGAGGAGUUCCUGCGAUGUGCUCAUUUAAUCCUCAUAGCAGGUAUUAUAGAAAAUAUCAUUAUUAUCUUCCUUUUACAGAAUCAGAAACUAAGAGCUGGCAAGUCACUUGCUCAGGGUUAAAAAGCCAGUAAGGGGUGGGGCCGGUAUCUGAACUCAAGUUUGUCUGACUCCAAAGAUCAUCCUUCCAUUGCAUUAGGCUGUGUGUCGAAUGGAUGAGUAAACAUCUGUUGCUCUAGAAUACGGAUAGUAGGCCAGUCACACAUAGAAAAAAAAUAUCCUUUAAAGAAAAAUAAUCACAAAGUAAUUUUCCUCUUUUAACAAUUUU